rnacentral:rRNA from 1 species
CAGCCGCCGCGGUAAUACAGAGGGUGCAAGCGUUAAUCGGAAUUACUGGGCGUAAAGCGAGCGUAGGUGGUUUGUUAAGUUGGAUGUGAAAGCCCCGGGCUCAACCUGGGAACUGCAUCCAAAACUGGCAAGCUAGAGUACGGUAGAGGGUGGUGGAAUUUCCUGUGUAGCGGUGAAAUGCGUAGAUAUAGGAAGGAACACCAGUGGCGAAGGCGACCACCUGGACUGAUACUGACACUGAGGUGCGAAAGCGUGGGGAGCAAACAGGAUUAGAUACCCCCGUAGUCCUUGUCUCUUAUAC